rnacentral:rRNA from 1 species
CCUACGGGCGGCAGCAGUGGGGGAUAUUGCACAAUGGGGGAAACCCUGAUGCAGCGACGCCGCGUGAGCGAAGAAGUAUUUCGGUAUGUAAAGCUCUAUCAGCAGGGAAGAAAACGAAGGUACCUGACUAAGAAGCUCCGGCUAAAUACGUGCCAGCAGCCGCGGUAAUACGUAUGGGGCAAGCGUUAGUCGGAUUUACUGGGUGUAAAGGGAGCGUAGGCGGUCAGGCAAGUCUGAUGUGAAAGGCCAGGGCUCAACCCUGGAACUGCAUUGGAAACUGUUUGACUGGAGUGUCGGAGAGGCAGGUGGAAUUCCUGGUGUAGCGGUGAAAUGCGUAGAUAUUAGGAGGAACACCAGUGGCGAAGGCGGCUUGCUGGACGAUGACUGCCGCUGAGGCUCGAAAGCGUGGGGAGCAAACAGGAUUAGAUACCCUUGUAGUC